rnacentral:misc_RNA from 1 species
CAACCCUCAAGCCCCAGCGGUUUGGUGUUGGGGACCGGCGAGUACGGAGGCGGGGGGGACUUGUCCCCUCUUCCCUCGGCGCCGCCCCCGAAAUGAAUUGGCGGUCUCGUCGCGGCCUCCUCUGCGUAGUAGCACAACCUCGCAUCAGGAGCGCGGCGCGGCCACUGCCGUAAAACGCCCAACUUUUUUAAGAG